rnacentral:misc_RNA from 1 species
UUUCCGUAGGUGAACCUGCGGAAGGAUCAUUCAUAAUAAGUGUUUUAUGGCAUUUUUUUAAAUCCAUAUCCACCUUGUGUGCAAUGUCAGGGUUGAUUUUUCUCUCGAGAGGAUCAACCCCAAACAUCAACUAUAUCUCAACUCUUUGUCUGAAAAAUAUUAUGAAUAAAACAAUUCAAAAUACAACUUUCAGCAACGGAUCUCUUGGCUCUC